AGAACGGACGUCCAGCGUUGCGUGACGACCAGAUAUGUUUGAUAUAUUUGGUGGUUGAUGUGCUAUGCUACCAAUUGUCAGACAUGUCGAGCCGUUGGUCUUCGGACGUUAAUCAGAGAUU
rnacentral:precursor_RNA from 10 species